ACGUAUGGUGCAAGCGUUAUCCGGAUUUACUGGGUGUAAAGGGAGCGUAGACGGAGUGGCAAGUCUGAUGUGAAAACCCGGGGCUCAACCCCGGGACUGCAUUGGAAACUGUCAAUCUAGAGUACCGGAGAGGUAAGCGGAAUUCCUAGUGUAGCGGUGAAAUGCGUAGAUAUUAGGAGGAACACCAGUGGCGAAGGCGGCUUACUGGACGGUAACUGACGUUGAGGCUCGAAAGCGUGGGGAGCAA
rnacentral:rRNA from 1 species